GCCAGUGUGAUGUAGCGGUUUGAGUGUUGGACUACGACUCAGGAGACCAGGGUUCGAUUCCCAGCUCGGCCA